UGUAUAGUAAGGCAUUUUUAGCCGAAAAAAACUACCAUGUAUAGUAAGGCGUUUUUAGCUGGAAAAAAACGACCAUGUAUAGUAAGGCGUUUUUAGUCGAAAAAAACGACCAUGUAUAGUAAGGCGUUUUCUUCAGAAAAAAAAAGACCAUGUAUAGUAAGGCGUUUUUAGCCGAAAAAAACGACCAUGUAUAGUAAGGCGUUUUUAGUCGAAAAAAACGACCAUGUAUAGUAAGGCGUUUUUAGCCGAAAAAAACGACCAUGUAUAGUAAGGCGUUUUUAGUCGAAAAAAACGACCAUGUAUAGUAAGGCGUUUUUAGCCGAAAAAAACGACCAUGUAUAGUAAGGCGUUUUUAGUCGAAAAAAACGACCAUGUAUAGUAAGGCGUUUUUAGCCGAAAAAAACGACCAUGUAUAGUAAGGCAUUUUUAGCCGAAAAAAGCGACCAUGUAUAGUAAGGCAUUUUUAGCCG